AGGCAGCAUGGCAGGACCCUCGCCUCUUCGAUUCUUCCCAUUGCAAAUAAAAUAACAAAGAGAAAAAAAUAAAACCUGAGUGAAGACGGGAUGGGAGAGGUCUGUGCUCAGGCUGCAGCACUACUGAAACUGUACUGGCUACUUCCUGUGAUGUUACCGUCUUUCUGAGUCCAUGGACGGUCACACUGUGGGAAUUAUGAAGUGGUGGGGAUGAUGCCCGGAGAAGGUGGGAAACCGAGAGCCUGCCGAACUGAAGUCUCAUUCUACCCUUUCCUGUUUUCACCGCACACCCACAUGAGUGACUGGAUUUUUCACAUGUCAUCCACAUUUUUUUGUACUUUGAAGACACAGCCUGUCGGCCAGACUUCCCGCAUUCGGGUGUUGGUGGCGCUGGGCCAAGCACUCUAUCUGCAUGUGUGUACUGAAUGUCACAAAACACACAGCAAGAGAUGGGAUCGGCAGCAGCCACGCGGAAGGAUGUGGACCCAGGCUGCAAAGAAGAUCUUUUUCCUUCUGACUUUCUCUGUAAGAAAUACCGUGAUUGACAUCUGGGAAGACCCAGGGGAGAAGGCUGCGCUGUGUGAGACAGGAAGUUUCAGACAAUGGGAAUAAAAAGCCCUAAAGUGUGAGAAUACAAAACGUUCUUCAAGAAAGCUUCAGUCCAGAUAUCUAAUAAUCCGAAAACAUCCUUGUGUUUAAUGUGGAAUAUUUUUAAACAGAAAUCUAAAGCAAGAGAACGUGAAGUAGGUAGAAAACAAAAUGGUUUUCACUUGUACAGACUCCCAGUUCAAACUCAGAUGACCUGUGGUGCCAGGUCCUCCGUUACUUAGUACGGAUGGAGACAUGAAAGAUGUGACCCCUUUUUCCCAAGGGCCUCUGAGAAGCACACUGAAGCCUGGGCCAGUAAACACUCCCAGGAAGUUCAUGGAGCUCAUAUUCCAGUGUCAUACACAGCGGGCUGGAUGGACCUCUUCUUCUACCAGCAUCCCUACCGCCCAACCCCAUGGAUUCUGUGUAGGUCGACAAGUUUUUCUCCUGGCUACUUUUAUUUCAAGUGAGCUCAACUGAUGCAGCACUUACUGAGCCUCUGCAAAGUACAAGGGGCAAUGUGGGGCCUUUCGAGGAGGAGGACUCAAAGGGGGAUAGCUUCCAAAUAUUUUUCUACUGGAUUGUUAUACUUCUGCUUUAUUCCACUAGCAUUCGAGAAAGUUUCUGUGUUGCUUACAGAAGUUUCUGAGACUGGAUAAAUGUAAAAGAGAAAGAGAGAGAUUUGACUCAUGAUUCUGGUCAUGUGGAAGGUCCAAAGGCAUCACAAAAUGGCCACGGGCAGGAUCUGGAGGACAGCUGUCCAUAGGUUUCUGCCCAUUAUGAUCUCCUUUCCCCCUUUAUAAAUGUAUAGCAAAACACAAUCAUAGGGCUCUGCCAUGAUGAUCUUAUCACACCCAAGGACCACACCCUGGGAAACCACGAAGGGCUUUCCACUCAACAUCCUUGCACUACAACCUAGUUCCGACAUAGGAUUUUUUUUUUU